rnacentral:lncRNA from 1 species
AGAGAUAUAAAUGGUUUUUGGGUUCAGAGUCAAUGUCAUUAGUCUUUUCAUUGUGUUUAUUCUAAAAUACCAUUGACAUUUUUUUUCAACUCAGUUACUUAAUUCCUUUUGUUUUUGAUUUUGUAUCCAACUGAGUAUUUUCAUUUGGUGAGUGUUUUUCUUUGUUCUAUCAGAUUCUCUCUUUUCUUUUAUCUUUUUUUUUAUCAUCAUUUUUUUU